AGAGUUUGAUCAUGGCUCAGGACGAACGCUGGCGGCGUGCUUAACACAUGCAAGUCGAACGGAAAGGCCCUUCGGGGUACUCGAGUGGCGAACGGGUGAGUAACACGUGGGUGAUCUGCCCUGCACUUUGGGAUAAGCCUGGGAAACUGGGUCUAAUACCGAAUAGGACCGCGCGCUUCAUGGUGUGUGGUGGAAAGCUUUUGCGGUGUGGGAUGGGCCCGCGGCCUAUCAGCUUGUUGGUGGGGUAAUGGCCUACCAAGGCGACGACGGGUAGCCGGCCUGAGAGGGUGACCGGCCACACUGGGACUGAGAUACGGCCCAGACUCCUACGGGAGGCAGCAGUGGGGAAUAUUGCACAAUGGGCGCAAGCCUGAUGCAGCGACGCCGCGUGAGGGAUGACGGCCUUCGGGUUGUAAACCUCUUUCACCAGGGACGAAGCGCAAGUGACGGUACCUGGAGAAGAAGCACCGGCCAACUACGUGCCAGCAGCCGCGGUAAUACGUAGGGUGCGAGCGUUGUCCGGAAUUACUGGGCGUAAAGAGCUCGUAGGUGGUUUGUCGCGUUGUUCGUGAAAACUCACAGCUUAACUGUGGGCGUGCGGGCGAUACGGGCAGACUAGAGUACUGCAGGGGAGACUGGAAUUCCUGGUGUAGCGGUGGAAUGCGCAGAUAUCAGGAGGAACACCGGUGGCGAAGGCGGGUCUCUGGGCAGUAACUGACGCUGAGGAGCGAAAGCGUGGGGAGCGAACAGGAUUAGAUACCCUGGUAGU
rnacentral:rRNA from 1 species